rnacentral:rRNA from 1 species
UACGGAGGGUGCAAGCGUUAUCCGGAUUCACUGGGUUUAAAGGGUGCGUAGGUGGGCAGGUAAGUCAGUGGUGAGAUCUCCGAGCUUAACUCGGAAACUGCCAUUGAUACUAUCUGUCUUGAAUUAUCUGGAGGUGAGCGGAAUAUGUCAUGUAGCGGUGAAAUGCUUAGAUAUGACAUAGAACACCAAUUGCGAAGGCAGCUCACUACGGAUAUAUUGACACUGAGGCACG